rnacentral:rRNA from 1 species
GACGAACGCUGGCGGCGUGCUUAACACAUGCAAGUCGAACGGAAAGGCCCUGCUUGCAGGGUACUCGAGUGGCGAACGGGUGAGUAACACGUGGGUGAUCUGCCCUGCACUUCGGGAUAAGCCUGGGAAACUGGGUCUAAUACCGGAUAGGAGCCAUUUUUAGUGUUAUGGUUGGAAAGUUUUUUCGGUGUAGGAUGAGCUCGGGGCCUAUCAGCUUGUUGGUGGGGUAAUGGCCUACCAAGGCGGCGACGGGUAGCCGGCCUGAGAGGGUGGACGGCCACAUUGGGAAUGAGAUACGGCCCAGACACCUAAGGGAGGCAGCAGUGGGGAAUAUUGCACAAUGGGCGCAAGCCUGAUGCAGCGACGCCGCGUGGGGGAUGACGGCCUUCGGGUUGUAAACACCUAUCGCUAGGGAAGAAGCUUUUUGUGACGGUACCUAGAUAAGAAGCACCGGCUAACUACGUGC